rnacentral:snRNA from 1 species
AGAUGUGAAGGCGAUCUGACUGCGACAUCGGUCACCCCAUUGAUUGCCUGGGUUGGUUCGGCUGAUCUGGCUGGCUAGGCAGGUGUCCCCUUCCUCCCUCACCACUCCAUGUGCGUCCCUCCCUCCCGAAGCUGCUAACUCAGUCAAAGAGGACGGCUUUUCCCAACAGAGACGGACCAGUCUUCGGUUGAGGGUAUACGAGUAGCUGCGCUCCCCUGCUAGAACCUCCAAACAAGCUCUCCAGGUCCAUGUGUAGGAGAACGUAGGGUAGUCAAGCUUCCAAGACUCCAGACACAUCUAAAUGAGGCGCUGCAUGUGGAAGUUUGCCUUUAAAG